CAUAAGGUGAGGAAGAGAAACCCACGGGUACCGCCUUUGUAGCGGCGAGUGAGCGGCAAAAGCUCAAAUUUGAAAUCUGGCGCCUUCGGUGUCCGAGUUGUAAUUUGAAGAAGGUAACUUUGGGGUUGGCCCUUGCCUAUGUUCCUUGGAACAGGACUUCAAGGAGGGGGAAAAUCCCGUGGGAUUGGAUGGCCAAUUCUAUGUAAAGUGCCUUCCAACAAUCCAGUUGUUUGGGAAUGCAGCUCUAAGUGGGUGGUAAAUUCCAUCUAAAGCUAAAUAUUGGCCAGAGACCGAUAGCGAACAAGUACAGUGAUGGAAAGAUGAAAAAAACUUUGAAAAGAAAGUGAAAAAGUACGUGAAAUUGUUGAAAGGGAAGGGUUUGAGAUCAGACUUGGUAUUUUGUGAUCCUUGCCUUCUCGGGCGGGUGCCCUCCAUCUUAGCGGGGCCAGCUUCGUUUGGGGGGGAGGAUAAAGGGGCGGGAGAGUGACUCUCUUCCGAUGGAGUGUUAUACCCUGGGAUUGAUGCUGCCUGCCUAGACAGAAGACUGCGACUUUAUCCUCGGACGCUGGGGUUAUGAUC
rnacentral:rRNA from 1 species